AUUGAACGCUGGCGGCAUGCCUUACACAUGCAAGUCGAACGGCAGCACGGGAGCAAUCCUGGUGGCGAGUGGCGAACGGGUGAGUAAAGUAUCGGAACGUGCCCAGUCGUGGGGGAUAACGUAGCGAAAGUUACGCUAAUACCGCAUACGAUCUAUGGAUGAAAGCGGGGGAUCGCAAGACCUCGCGCGAUUGGAGCGGCCGAUAUCAGAUUAGGUAGUUGGUGGGGUAAAGGCUCACCAAGCCGACGAUCUGUAGCUGGUCUGAGAGGACGACCAGACACACUGGGACUGAAACACGGCCCAGACGCCAACGGGAGGCAGCAGUGGGGAAUUUUGGACAAAGGGCGCAAGCCUGAUCCAGCCAUGCCGCUUGCAGGAUGAAGGCCUUCGGGUUGUAAACUGCUUUUGUACGGAACGAAAAGGUUUGACUUAAUACGUUGGACUCAUGACGGUACCGUAAGAAUAAGCACCGGCUAACUACGUGCCAGCCGCCGCCGUAA
rnacentral:rRNA from 1 species